rnacentral:lncRNA from 1 species
CUGCCCAGCCCUGAGCCUCACUGGCCCCCAGGAGCCCCGUCACUGUUGACUGAAGGCCCACAGAGCCUCCCUGCCUGCUGAAGUCAUAUAAAGCCUCCCUGAGGCCUGCUUCCCCCACCCGCCUGUGACCAUGAAGGCUGUCCUCCUUACCCUGCUGGCCAUUGGCUUGGCCCUCCAGCCAGGUGAGGCCUCAGCCAGCCAUGGGGCAGGACUGAAGGAAGGGGCAAGUGGAGGCCAGAAGGGUCCCAGGGAGCAAGCGGGAGAAGGAGGAGGGUCAGGUGGGAGGAAGGAGGCGGGUUUCUGCCCACUGGGCUUCUUGGCCCCUGGAGGGUGACUCUGGGCACAUCUGGGAAGCAAGGAUGACACCUUGCAGUGAAUUUUUCCCUACUGCCCGCAGGGUUGGAGGGGCAGAAGUCAAAGGGACAGGGACAGGGAUGCUGACCAACAGUCCUGGGAGGCACAGGGGCAAGACAUCUCAUGCUCAGAAGGGAAGGAAGGAGGCUGGAAUGAGGAGGUGCUGGGGUUGCACUGGGAAGACCCGAGGCCCCACCAGCCCUGACGUCCACUCCCUGGGAGAGCUUGUGUCCAGGUGGAGGAUCCAAGGGGAUGGUUCAGCCUGUGCUGUGGCUGGCCAAGUCACUGACCCUCUUAGACCUCAGUGUCCUCUUCUGGAAAGUGUGGGCAGGGGGCUGUCCCCCGAGGCCACCAGGAAAUUGAGCAGGCCAACACUCCAAGGGCACCCAGGGUAGGGCUGGGGAGGUGCUUGGACCUGUUUUCAAGGAGGUGCUGCGGAGCCAGCUGUAGCAGCUUUGAAGGGAGGAGACUUAAGCAGGACACCCUGGUAGCUGGGGUUACUGGACCCAGGGAGGGCAGGACCUGGCCCGGGGCCACUUGUGGUCACAUAGCACCAAGAGGCCUGAGAGGGGCUGAGACCAGGUGGGCCUAGGGGAUAAGAAGGGGUAGGCCUGAGGCCUGGUGGCCUAGGAAAGUCAGGGAACGGUCUCCCGACACCCCCACCCUUCCUCUCCAGGGCCCAGCUGGGCCCCUGCAAGACAGGGUUAGCCAGGCCACACUGGGGCCGGUCAUCUCUGCCCUUCACAGAGCAUGGCAUGGUAUGCAGCCAUGGGCUGCAACGUGGGCAUGGAGGGGAAGUCAUUCAUAGGCGCAGCAGGGAAAGUGGGUGCCAGUCCUCGGUGGACUGGGUACACCCGGGACCUCGCGAGGGGCCUGGGCUCAGGUCUGCACCCCCAGCAGUCUGGAAGGGCUCAUUCCUUUCUCCUUGCUGGUGGGGGAGAGAAAGUGUGGCAGGCCCAGGCUGGGAGGACAGCCUCUGACCUCGCUGCCCCGCCCCGCAGGUACCGCCCUCCAGUGUUACUCCUGCACGGCCCAGAUGAGCAACAGGGACUGCCACAACGUGGAGAACUGCACCCAAGGCCAGACCCAGUGCAAGACGGAGCGCAUCCGUGAGUGCCUUCGCCCGGCUCCCUCCCUGCCACUGGCUGACUGAGGAGCCUGGGCUUGGUCUCCACCACUGUUCAGCCUUCUGUCCUCUGCCCACCUGACCAUCUAUCCAUAAUCCCCACAUGCCCCACCCCUUCCAGCGCCCUCAUCACCCCACACAUCUACCCACCCCAUCCUGCACUCACCUACCCACUCAAUCUGUCUGGUGCUCAGCCCAAGGCCCAGCUGCCCUGGGUCCUUGGACAUGGACAAGACCAAGCCCCUGGUCUCCUGCUGCUGGCAGCCUUGCGACCAGCUUGGGGUGUGGCUGUGGAGCUUCAGUUAGGGACAGGACUGGCCUCCCCAGCCGUCACCAUGCCCCUCCAGGUGCAGUUGGGCUCGUGACCGUUAUCAGUAAGGGCUGCAGCUCGGACUGUGUGGAAGAUGCGGAGAACUACUACGUGGGCAAGAAGAACAUCACGUGCUGUUCCACGGAUCUGUGCAAUGCCAGUGGGGCCCACGGCCUGCAGCCAGCCACUGCGCUGGGGCUGCUCGCCACGCUUGGCAGCUUGCUGCUGUGGGGGCCCAGCCAGCUGUAGGCUCCAGGAGGGUGCACAGCCAAUGCCGUGUCCCUGACCUCGUGACCUGGCAGAGGUCUAACCCUCACCCUGCUCCCCACCUCCACAGCUCCCCCUGGGACUCCUGCCCAGUGCCUGCCUGCCCAGCAGGCUGGACUGCAGUGCCUUAGAACAGCCUGCAGCGGCUCCUCUGCAGGCCUCGGCUGCUGCUGUUGCCACAGCCCAUGUUUUGGCCACCUUUGCUCAGGUGCCUCCUCUAGGAAGCCUUCUCUGCCCUCUCCUCCAGGACUGAGCCAGGGCCCUCCAAGGCUGAGAUGAGAUGGGCUGGGUAGCAGUCGGGCUGGGAGGGUCACAAGGCCCUGGGAUCUAGAUGAGGCAGGCAGGGAGGGACGAGCCCCCCCGUUCAUGGACAACCUGGGAGCA